CCCCUCUCAGGGUCGCACCCGGAGAGUUUCCAGUACUCUACCAGUCUCGGUUAUGGGAGGGAGAGUCAAGCAGAGGCCUAUCCAUUCCAUUCCUAGCUGGGGCAGUGGCUAGGGGAUGGAAGGCAAUCUGCUUCAAGU